AGCUUUGUGCAGUGGCAGUAUCGUAGCCAAUGAGGUUUAUCUGAGGCAUGAUUAUUGCUAAUUGAAAACUUUUCCCAAUACCCCACCAUGAAAACUUGAAAUAGAGUUGGCAUUGGCAAUUUUUGACAGUCUCUAAGGAGA
ensembl:snRNA U4 U4 spliceosomal RNA